UUAAAUUGAAGAGUUUGAUCAUGGCUCAGAUUGAACGCUGGCGGCAGGCCUAACACAUGCAAGUCGAACGGUAACAGGAAGCAGCUUGCUGCUUCGCUGACGAGUGGC
rnacentral:rRNA from 16 species